GACAGAGGUUGCAAACGUUGUUCGGAAUUACUGGGCAUAAAGCGCACGUAGGUGGUCCGCUAAGUCGCGUGUGAAGUGCCCCGGCUCAACCGGGGAAUUGCGCGCGAUACUGGCGGGCUUGAGGUCGGGAGGGGUGAGUGGAACUCCUGGUGGAGCGGUGAAAUGCGUAGAUAUCAGGAGGAACACCGGUGGCGAAAGCGACUCACUGGCCCGAAUCUGACACUGAGGUGCGAAAGCUAGGGUAGCAAACGGG
rnacentral:rRNA from 1 species